rnacentral:lncRNA from 1 species
GCUUAUGAAUAGGAGAUACUCUCUAUUGGUGCUGCCCUCCUUCAUUCUGAGCCAAAACUAAGAAAUUAUAGGACUUUGAUUAUUCUCAGGGCUCAAUUUGUAAUAACACAAUGAUAAUAGGUCCUCAGAAUAGUUAAAUUGGGCAAUGUCCAGUGCUGAAAUAAAUGAAUGGACUGUAUGUUCAGAGAAAAUAAGCAGACUGCUUAGAGUUUCUGAAAUAGUGUGUACACAGGUGCACAUCCACACUCACACAAACACACCCACAUCCAUACCCACACAAACACACCCACAUAAACACACACCCACAUCCACACUCACACAAACACACCCACAUACAUACCCACCCAAACACACCCACAUAAACACUCACCCACAUCCAC